UACACAACAACUCCAAUCCCGUCUUCCUCGUGGUUCUGGCCGGGGUAGGAGUAAUCUAAGGGAAGAUCGUGUAACCAACCCCGGUGGGAGCUUUAGUCGUAUGCUAACAGGGAAGG
rfam:Aedes aegypti strain Liverpool supercont1.48 genomic scaffold, whole genome shotgun sequence.